rnacentral:rRNA from 1 species
UACGAGGGGUGCUAGCGUUGUUCGGAAUCAUUGGGCGUAAAGAGUAUGUAGGCGGCCAUAUAAGUCAGUUGUGAAAUCCCCGGGCUCAACCCGGGAAGUGCAAUUGAUACUGUAUGGCUUGAGUAUGGAAGAGGGUAGUGGAAUUCCAGGUGUAGUGGUGAAAUACGUAGAUAUCGGAAGGAACACCUGUGGCGAAAGCGGCUCACUGGACCAUUACUGACGCUGAUGCACGAAAGCUAGGGGAGCAAACAGG